UACGAGUGCCCCAAGCGUUAUCCGGAAUUAUUGGGCGUAAAGGGUGCGUAGGCGGGUCUUUAAGUCAGGGGUGAAAUCCUGGAGCUCAACUCCAGAACUGCCUUUGAUACUGAAGAUCUUGAGUUCGGGAGAGGUGAGUGGAACUGCGAGUGUAGAGGUGAAAUUCGUAGAUAUUCGCAAGAACACCAGUGGCGAAGGCGGCUCACUGGCCCGAUACUGACGCUGAGGCACGAAAGCGUGGGGAGCAAACAGG
rnacentral:rRNA from 1 species